AGAGUUUGAUCAUAGCUCAGGAUGAACGCUAGCUACAGGCUUAACACAUGCAAGUCGAGGGGCAGCAUGAACUUAGCUUGCUAAGUUUGAUGGCGACCGGCGCACGGGUGAGUAACACGUAUCCAACCUGCCGGAUGACUCGGGGAUAGCCUUUCGAAAGAAAGAUUAAUACCCGAUGGCAUAGUUCUUCCGCAUGGUAGAACUAUUAAAGAAUUUCGGUCAUCGAUGGGGGAUGCGUUCCA
rnacentral:rRNA from 1 species